rnacentral:rRNA from 1 species
CCUCUCGGGGGUAAGCGGNCAGAACCUGCAAGUAUUGAUGGGAGAUUCAGGCUUAAGAUUGAUGGCUGAUGGAUUAGAGUAAGUUGAAACAAAUUUAUUUGAUUUGACUACUUUAAUUUUUUUGAUCUAUUAAUAAUGCGCCGCAUUUCUCCUUAUCAUCCGGGUUGCAUGCAACUGAAAUGGUAUUCUAGGUUCAGGGUAAUUGUAAAUCCUUGUGGUUUAAAUCCUUGUAUCCAAAUACUUUUGCGGUUGUUGAUAAGCGAAUAGGCACUUGGUGCGGUCAAAUGUAAGGACGAGUCGUGUUCAUACGAGUUGUAGACGGGUAACCGUAGCACUUUGUAUGGACUGGUUGUCAGUCNNNAUUUAUUGGCUCUAUUCAGUAUUGCAAUCUAAAGCAUGCGUGGUUUGCCUGU